CUACUACUCCCUCCGUUUGGAAUUACAUGUCUCGAAAAUGGAUGUAUCUAGAACUAAAAUAAGUCUAGAUACAUCCAUUUUUGCGACAAGUAAUUCCGAACGGAGGGAGUAGUUC
rfam:Triticum aestivum genome assembly, contig: Triticum_aestivum_CS42_TGACv1_scaffold_220999_3B